GCGAACACUGGGCCCUACGGAAUAUGAAUACAAUUUACAAAUAUAUUUGAAUCCAUACAUCGUAUAAGCUAGAUCAGUCAACAAUAUAACAUUUUACUGUAAUUAUUAUCGUUGGCGUGGAAUAAAUACAAAGCAGCUGACUCUAGGUAGUUCAUUUUCAUUUAAAAUGCAUUGGUUAUAAAAUGUAACGUUCGUCAAAGUUUGAACUAUAUCUCAAUAAUAAUGGACGAUGUGAUAAAAUAAUGUAAGCGAUUAUCAGAAUGAUGGUUUCACUAGCAAUUUAUACAUUUUGUAUAGAGAUAAGUUAUAAUGAAAUUUCCAUUAUUUAAAAUAUUGUUUAGUAAAUGAAUGUAUGAUUGAAAAACGAGUGUGAAUAAAAUGUAUGAUAAUAAAAUAGCUAAAGGUUUUGGACUUCAUACUUAAACUAUUUAAUAUGAAAUGUUGAAUUGUUGAAAACUAUGUUUACUGUAAUUUCAACAAAAAUAUAAGCUUCUAUUCACAGGAAUCAAAUCAUAAAAAAAAAAAAGAAUUAGAUAUUAUAUUGUAUAAAAUUAAUAAAAUUGAAGACCAUUUAUCUGACUAUUUGUUAAUGUUGAUAUUGCCUUGAAGAAAUAUUUUAUAAAAGUCGAUGAAAAUUUUAUGUCAAACACUUGAUUCCGCUUUUUUUUU